CGAAGGGCGAUGAAGGGGAAGAGUAGGUUUUGUGGCUCGUUGACAGAGAGGGAGCGCCGCGGCUGAAAGCGUUCCUCAAUCGGCACAGAGCUGAAUAGAGCCCCUGAGCUGGCUUCCGAAGAAAGGCCUAAGGCCAAGUAGGAGCCCGGGUGGUCUUCCGUAAAAAGACCUAAAAGAGAGUGGGUAGACCUUAAAGCUUUUAAGAUCUACCAACAAGGGUGGCACCGCGGGUUAAAGCCCGUCCCUUCU
rnacentral:ncRNA from 1 species